CAGCAGCCACGGGAAUACGUAGGGUGCGAGCGUUAAUCGGAAUUACUGGGCGUAAAGCGUGCGCAGGCGGUUCUAUAAGACAGACGUGAAAUCCCCGGGCUCAACCUGGGAACUGCAUUUGUGACUGUAGAGCUGGAGUGCGGCAGAGGGGGAUGGAAUUCCGCGUGUAGCAGUGAAAUGCGUAGAUAUGCGGAGGAACACCGAUGGCGAAGGCAAUCCCCUGGGCCUGCACUGACGCUCAUGCACGAAAGCGUGGGGAGCAAACAGGAUUAGAUACCCCCGUAGUCCCUGUCUCUUAUAC
rnacentral:rRNA from 1 species